ACGGAGGAUGCAAGCGUUAUCCGGAAUUAUUGGGCGUAAAGCGUCCGCGGGUGGCUGUUCAAGUCUGCUGUCAAAUUCCAGGGCUCAACCCUGGUUCGGCAGUGGAAACUGGAUAGCUAGAGUACGGUAGGGGCAGAGGGAAUUCCUGGUGUAGCGGUGAAAUGCGUAGAUAUCAGGAAGAACACCGGUGGCGAAAGCGGGUUGCUGGGCCGACACUGACGCUGAGGCGCGAAAGCCAGGGGAGCGAACGGGA
rnacentral:rRNA from 1 species